GGGGAUUUAGCUCAGUGGUAGAGCGCUUGCCUAGCAAGUGCAGGGCCCUGGGUUCAGUCCCCA
rfam:Rattus norvegicus chromosome 12, whole genome shotgun sequence.